AGGAGGUUGGGAGUAGCUGCCAAGCAAGUCAGUGCUACCACCUGUGACAGCUGUUUCCCUAAUCAUCCUCAUCAUACCAAACAAGGAAAACCUGGCUGUGGAGAGAAGCCCCCCUCUCCUGACUUUUCAGAAUCUCUUGACUCUUCAAACCCAGAGAAUCUUAACUAAUGGUCUCCAGAGUGAGGUGUGGCUGCUCAAAGGCUAAAGGAAAUGUGCAAGGCUGUGGAAUGCUAAGCACAAUAAUAUGGGUAAAUACCCAGAGCUGUGAGGAUAUGCAGCCAGUUUCCUACAAGCAUCCAGGCAACAGACUGAAGUCUGAAAGGCGAUGAAUUCUUCUAAUCCUUUCCUACAGACUGUAGGUAACCUUGGAGGAGACUUUGGAGAAGCAAUAAUAAGCUCCAGCUUCUGAGAGGAAUCCUGAACCCAACUAACAAUGAGAUCAAGGUAGAUUGAUGACUUUGGCAGACGACUUACCAUUGAGCUCAGAGAAGGCAACAGCUCAUGCCUGCUAAUGUUCACGCCUGGCAGCUAAGUUUGCUGCUGCAAGUCUUGGCCCUGGGCUAAUAUGUGACUAGAAAUUCAGGUGUAAAAAAGCAUGUAUGCCAAAAUCAGCUGUUUCUUAGCAGUUGAGUUGAAGCAGCUGAGGGACUAAAAUAAUACUUCUCAACAUAUGUGCUGUGCUGUCUAAAAGUCAUAGAACUGUUCAGAGAAGACGAGAAGGCUGGGGCUUGAAUCCCAUAAAGGGGGACGGGAGGGAGAGUUAGGAAGAAAAGUGUACAGUCGACAUUAUGUGUCUAGUCUUCUAUUUUCGACAUUGACUUUUCCAUCUCGGACACCAGGAGUUCCAGCACUUAAAAAGCACACAUCUAAAUCUCUCAUGCAUGCAUCCUUUACCCACAUAAAUAGCUACACAAUUAAAUGACACCCUGUCCAGACCCAUCUACAAUUUUUUUCUUCAGGUUCAGCUUUGGAGAUCAAUGGCAAGUAGUCCAAAAUCCACACACUCCUAUUUUUUAAAAAUCCACAUUGUGCCAUAGCCAAGCCGAGUCCUGGAAGUGGAGAUUUUUUAAGUUAAGGUCCAGUUACUUGAGAAGAGCACGGUUGACAGAGGGUGAGUGGUCAGUAAAUGAUUAAUUCCAGUAUGACAUGAUCAUGUUAGAAUGUGCACAGAAGACUACAGGUGCUCCAACAAGGAUAUAUCUAAACUAUAGGAAGAUUUCAAGGUGGAGGUAAUAUAUGAAUAUCUGAAUUGAGCCUUAACAUGUGUUAGAAGUUACAUGUGUUACCAGACAUUCAGAAGAAAAAUAGUCUUUAGUAAUUGGCUAUUGCAUGUCAUUGCAUAUAUUUUUCAUUUAAAAUGCAAACCUCACAACCAUUUCAGAUUUUAACAAUCCAUCUGAAAUGGUUUUCAUUUUUUGCUUUAUUAAUGCAAAUGCUUUCACAAAGAGAAAAUUUCUGCCCAGGCCUUGCUAAGUGUUAAAUAAAACAGAAUUUCCCUGUUAGGUAUGGCACACUUCUUAUUCCUUUUAUUAUCAUCAUUUGGAUUGAUGUAGUAAUAAAGGAUCCUGAAACCAAAAAUUCAAAUA